rnacentral:lncRNA from 1 species
ACAAGCAGUGGUAUACAAUAGAUAAGUAUGCUGAAGUUCUUCGAAUUUUGUGAAUGUUGGAUGUAUUAAAGAACAAUUACAAGCUUUCCUUAAUACACCAAAAGAAUUGUCAGAAUCAUUUACAUACUUUAAAAUUGUGUUCUUAGACAUUAUAUAUUCACUUAUCUUUAAUUAAUGAUAAUCUUUGCAUUGUGAAUGAUAAACAGUUUUAAAUUCAUGACUUGAAUUGGUAAAAAAAAAUGCAACUUUUCUUUAUUAUUGCAAACCAAAUGAAAAUUUUCCACAAAGUCGUCUGCGCUUGACCAGGGUAUUAAACCGU